UAGAAGUUAGACAAGGAAAAAAUAAGUGAAUUUAAUUUUUACUUUUCGGUUACAAUUUUGGGAUCAUGGAUCAAAUUUUACCCCUGCUAAUACCUAAAAACGGUAAAAUUUGUGUUUUAAAAAAAAUGAGGCACGCAUCAUGGAGAAAGGCUUGGUAACCAACGGUUUGAGUCCAAAAAAGACUCAAACACUCAAAAUAAAACACAAUGGUACCAUUAUAACCUGACGUUGGUAUCAAAUUGUUAUCAGGACUGGUACCAAGGUAUCAAUAUUUUCGGAGAAUGGUACCAUUAUAACCUAGCAUGGGUAUCAAGCAAUUGUCAGCCACACGCGAGUAAAAUCUUCCAACGCAUAAAAUGACCAAAUUACUCCCGUUUGAGUCCCCUAAGAGACUCAAACGGUUGGUUGCCAAGACAAACUCCGCAUCAUGUGCGUAAAUUGCUAGUUCCAUCUAGCGUCCACUGACCAUACCACUACGCCUCAGGUGUUUAUAAAGCAAGCUGUUUUGUCUGUUUCAAGAAUGCUAUUUUCCACUAUGCAAAUUACUUUAUGAUUAUGACAUGACAUGACAUCCUUGCAUUAAAGAAAGUAUUUUCCACUGUAAUUCGAGAAAGUAUCCAAGGACUGAUCAUGAUCGCUUGGAGUUGAUUGGCAUAUGUUUAGAGAUGAAAACGGUAGGAUCUGUUUGUGACACCUAAUUAUCAUAACUUAUGGCAAUCAAUCCUGAUUACAACUCAUAAAUUUACUCCUUUUUUCUAUUGAGAGGUGAGUCACAUCUACAAUAUGAAUGCAAAAUUUGGAAAUCAGAUCUAUUUGAAUAUAAGAUGGUUUAAUUAAUAUCUCUUGUAUAGCUAUUUUCUCAGAAUUCUUCUCGAGGGGCUAACUAUAUUAAUAGCUGAUUUAAGGUAGUUGCUAACUUGCUACUACAUUUUUGAAAAAAAGGUUUUCUAGCAAUUGAUGGGUGAACAUACUAGGGUUGUUAUUUAUUUAGAGUUCUCGCUGUUCUUUGAGGAAUGAGAUUUUCAAAGCUCACUUCUUGUCUCGGGAGAUGUCUCGAAUUAUUAACCAAUAUGUAUUUGAAGUUUUAGAUCAAAAACUUGAGUGAAGUGAUUUUCCAAUUCCCUUUAAAUAACCGAUGCAAUUCAAUGGUGUAGUAGUGUUAACUAUGGAGCCAUGGAGGUGAUAAAGAUUUGAAGAACUUAUUUUUGAUAUAAGAGAACUGUAAAGUAGGACACACUAUUAUUAACAUUAGUUUAAUGAUUAUUAAUAUACUUCCCCCAUUCCUUUUUCCUUGCAACGUAUCUAAUCACAAAAUGCUACAUCUCUCUCCUCAAUCCUCACCUCCUCAAACCCCCUGCCAUGGCUGCCAACUCCCUACCCCAUCAACAACCUCCACCAUCAUCGCCACCCCAUCAACAACCUCCACCACCACCUUAGUUUUUCGACGGCAACCAUUUUUUCCGACGCUUUCGUUUUUGAUAACCUGCAUCUCCGUUUGCUCAAGUCUCCCACAUUAUGGUCGUAUUCGACCAUUAAAAGCUCCAAAUCUUGAACUUUUAUGGUUAAAUUCGGCCAUCAAAGCUCCGAAAAAUGGUUCGAAUUUUGUUGUUUUCGGUGAUUUUCUCUCCUCCCUCUUCUCUCACCAUGGCCAACGAAAUCGAAGUUUUUAGUAGCGCCAGUUUUAAAUGGAUUGGUUGAAGUUAUGACUUGGUUAGUGGGGGCGAGAGAGAUUGCGUCGGUUAAGUGUUUAACAGUGUCGGCAUAAAUGUCGGAUGAAAACGCGGCGUUUCCUUUGGCUUUUGCUUCGUCUGCCAUUGAAGAGAGAUAGAGAGGGGGAGAUAGGAAGACGAGAGAGUUUGCUUUAUGGGGAAGGUGAAGGGGUUCUUGUUGCGGUCGUGGUCGAGUGGUAGUGUAGGCUGAGUGCGAUGGUGGCGGUAGCUGGGUAUGGGAGGGUACGACGAGCCAAAAUAAUGUAAUUGGUGAUGGUGGCGAUUUGUUUCAUUGUAUGGCUAAGAGCCUAAGAUUAGAGUUUGAGAUAUGUAAUUAACUUGGGUAAGUGAUGGGAGUACAAUCCCUUUCACCUUCUCUCAUCUUUCUUAAAAUUGUUCGACUCGUAAGUUGCAAGUAAAAAAAAAUCGAGGAAGUAUUUAUUUAUAUUUAAUUGUUUUAAAAACAGAAAUAUUAUUUUGUCUUCAAACAAUUAAUUUUCCUACAAAAAGCAACAUGAGAUUGUAGACUAGUUGGUUAAUGCAUUUGUAAUUUGAAUGAGAGGUUAUGGGUACAAAUUCAAUAUUCUAAAAGUAUAUAUACGGAGAUGAAUCUAACAAUAAAUAGUUGGUGGUGAGUAAAUAGUGUAAAAAUUCAAAUAUUGUAAUAAAAAAAGAACGAAAAAGUGGUGCAUAACAGGAAGGUAUGAUCUUUUAUUCCAUCCAGGCCUCAACUUAGCCUUUAGGUGCUUUAUAAACCAAGCUGUUUUUGUUUGUUUCUAAUAAUUUCUGCAAGAACACUAUUUUCUGCUAUGCAAAUUUCUUUCGAGAAUUGUUAAAUAUCGUCCCACAAUUACUUAAAAUCUUUCCGGGAUCAUCAAACAUUUUCAACUUUACACUUCCCUUUUUUUCUUUUCCAUAGCCACACCUCCAAUCACACGACCACCACCGAGGCCACGUACACCACCAACUAAACCACACACAACCACCAACAAAACUAAAAAAAAAAAAUCAGUCGUGUCCACCGCGGAAACGCCCGGCCUACACGUUUCCGCUAAGGUGGAAAUGUCUUCCUUGGACGUUUCCGCCAAGGUGGAAACGUCUUUUGUGGACGUUUCCACCAAGCGUCUGCCCUAGACGUUUCCGCCAAGGUGGAAACGUCCCAGGCCGAAUGUUUCGGCAGUGAACGCGACUGUAUUUUUUUUGGGUUUUUGCGACUUGCUCGUGGUGGCUUGCACGGGGAUGGGGGAUGCUGGUGGGGGUGGGGGAGGGUGGGGGUGUUGGUGGGUGGUGGUGGCAGGCUAUGCAGCACAGGUACUUCUCCGGGGUGUCGAUUCCCGUACCGGGGACGGGGAUUUUACGGGUACGUCAGAAAUACGUCCCCGGCGCGUCUCUAAAUAAUGGGGACGGUGAGCCAUGUGGGGACGACUAGGGUUUCUUGACGGGGACGUCUUGGGGACGGUUGAAGUAACUUUAGAGGCAUCCCCUUGCUUUUCCAGCAAACAAAGCACCAGCAGCUACGAUGGCAUUAGAGAAGGAUGAACUCGUGAGUCUCAGUUGUAUUUGAGUUUGAGAGAGGGGAAAAGAGAGAGGAGAGAGGGGUAAGUAAUAGUUGUUGGAUGUAUCACGUGAUUUCAUUUAAACAAAAGUACUCAUAGUUGUUGGUUGUUGCCA